rnacentral:rRNA from 1 species
GGUGAACGCUGGCGGCGUGCUUAAGACAUGCAAGUCGAACGGCAGUCUUCGGACUGUAGUGGCGCACGGGUGAAUAACGCGUAACUGACCUACCCCAAAGUCGCGGAUAACGAUUCGAAAGAAUCGCUAAUACGUGAUGUGCUGUCAGAUUGUGUUCUGCCAGUAAAGAUUGAUUGCUUUGGGAUGGGGUUGCGUUCCAUCAGCUAGUUGGUGGGGUAAAGGCCCACCAAGGCGACGACGGAUAGCCGGCCUGAGUGGGUGGCCGGCCACAGGGGUACUGAGACACGGGUACCAUUCCGACGGGAGGCGGCAGUUAGGAAUCUUCCACAAGGGGCGAAAGCCUGAUGGAGCGGUGCAGCGUGGGGGAUGAAGGUCUUCGGAUCGUAAACCUCUGAAUCAGGGACGAAAGACACUUCGGUGGGAUGACGGUACCUGAGUAAUAGCACCGGCUAACUCCGUGCCAGCAGCCGCCGUAAUAC